GGCAGUCAGAGGCGAUGAAGGACGUGCUAAUCUGCGAUAAGCGCCGGUAAGGUGAUAUGAACCGUUAUAACCGGCGAUUUCCGAAUGGGGAAACCCAGUGUGAUUCGUCACACUAUCAUUAACUGAAUCCAUAGGUUAAUGAGGCGAACCGGGGGAACUGAAACAUCUAAGUACCCCGAGGAAAAGAAAUCAACCGAGAUUCCCCCAGUAGCGGCGAGCGAACGGGGAGGAGCCCAGAGCCUGAAUCAGCAUGUGUGUUAGUGGAAGCGUCUGGAAAGGCGCGCGAUACAGGGUGACAGCCCCGUACACAAAAGCGCAUGUGCUGUGAGCUCGAUGAGUAGGGCGGGACACGUGGUAUCCUGUCUGAAUAUGGGGGGACCAUCCUCCAAGGCUAAAUACUCCUGACUGACCGAUAGUGAACCAGUACCGUGAGGGAAAGGCGAAAAGAACCCCGGCGAGGGGAGUGAAAAAGAACCUGAAACCGUGU
rnacentral:rRNA from 1 species